GACGAAUGCUGGCGGCGUGCCUAAUACAUGCAAGUUGAGCGAUGAAGCUUGGUGCUUGCACCAAUUUGAAGAGCAGCGAACGGGUGAGUAACGCGUGGGGAAUCUGCCUUUGAGCGGGGGACAACAUUUGGAAACGAAUGCUAAUACCGCAUAACAACUUUAAACAUAAGUUUUAAGUUUGAAAGAUGCAAUUGCAUCACUCAAAGAUGAUCCCGCGUUGUAUUAGCUAGUUGGUGAGGUAAAGGCUCACCAAGGCGAUGAUACAUAGCCGACCUGAGAGGGUGAUCGGCCACAUUGGGACUGAGACACGGCCCAAACUCCUACGGGAGGCAGCAGUAGGGAAUCUUCGGCAAUGGACGAAAGUCUGACCGAGCAACGCCGCGUGAGUGAAGAAGGUUUUCGGAUCGUAAAACUCUGUUGGUAGAGAAGAACGUUGGUGAGAGUGGAAAGCUCAUCAAGUGACGGUAACUACCCAGAAAGGGACGGCUAACUACGUG
rnacentral:rRNA from 1 species